GAUGAAGAACGCAGCGAAAUGCGAUAAGUAAUGUGAAUUGCAGAAUUCAGUGAAUCAUCGAAUCUUGAACGCACCUUGCACCCUUUGGUAUUCCGAAGGGUAUGCUCGUUUGAGUGUCAUUGUACUCUCACACUUCUAAUUCCUUUCGGGAUUUGGAGCGGUGGACUUGGGUGUUGCUGCUUUAGUUGUGGCUCACCUCAAAUAAGUUAGUGCAACUCUUGGUUGGACAUAGUACGGCGUGAUAAGUGUCUUCGCCGGCGCCUCUGUAAGGAGGGUGGCCGAUCGGGAGCUCUGUGCUUCAAACCGUCUUCGGACAAUCUUUGACAACUUGACCUCAAAUCGAGUAGGACUACCCGCUGAACUUAAGCAUAUCAAUAAGCGGAGGA
rnacentral:misc_RNA from 1 species